UACUCCUACGGGAGGCAGCAGUAGGGAAUCUUCGGCAAUGGGGGCAACCCUGAUGCAGCAACGCCGCGUGAGUGAUGACGGCCUUCGGGUUGUAAAGCUCUGUCUCCAGGGACGAUAAUGACGGUACCUGAGGAGGAAGCCACGGCUAACUACGUGCCAGCAGCCGCGGUAU
rnacentral:rRNA from 1 species